rnacentral:misc_RNA from 1 species
UACGGAGGUGGCAAGCGUUAAUCGGAAUUACUGGGCGUAAAGCGCACGCAGGCGGUCUGUCAAGUCGGAUGUGAAAUCCCCGGGCUCAACCUGGGAAGUGCAUGCGAAACUGGCGGGCUAGAGUGUUGUAGAGGGGGGUAGAAUUCCAGGUGUAGCGGUGAAAUGCGUAGAGAUCUGGAGGAAUACCGGUGGCGAAGGCGGCUCACUGGACAAAGACUGACGCUCAGGUGCGAAAGCGUGGGGAGCAAACAGG